CCAGCACUGGGCUCGGGUCCAGGAAGCCCAGCUUGGGCUCUGGCUCUGCUCGUGACCUUGGGCAAGUCAUAGCCUUGAGUUCAGGAAACUUGUCCAUCAAGGACAACCUCUCUGAGUCCUUUCUCAGCUCCUAGAGAAGGUCUGACCGAAGCCACAUGAUUCAGCCACACUGACCUGCCCUGUGUUGGCCUCUCUCUCAUGAAUGUCUCACUCUCGUUUCUCCAGUGCAGCUGCACAGCCCCUGAGAACUAUUUUCCUCCCCACCCCAGCCUGGCAUCACCGCGACCCGACUUGCCCCCCGGCCUGCAUCAGCAGUGGCAGCCGAGGGCAGCCCUCCCUUCUCCACCCUGGAAAGGAGCUCUGUGCGUCCCCAGCUGUAACACAGGGGCACCCAUCCCUACCCCCUUUCCGGGACCGGGAAAUGGAGUCCAGGCAGCAGGAGCUGGUUUAAGACGAGGCGUCGCUGAGGCCAGGACCAGAGCUCUCCUGUCUGCAGCCAGGAUGAGGCGCUGACCCUGGAAGGACUCACCUUCAAUCUUGUCCCUGUUUGGAUGAGAAAUAACACGGCCACCCUCUCCCACGGGAUUCGAGGUGCCCAGAGCCGACCGCAUUCUCCAGCUCCAGAGUGAGGGGCUCGCGUGAGGCUCAGAUGUGCUGGGCCCCACACGGGCAGGAGCACAGGGAAUCAUGGGUGUAUCACCUUCUGAUUACCUGCCUCCUUUAUGGACACCAAAGAACACCUCACUCAAAAAAUCCCAUACAAGCCAACUGCAGCAUACAGCGUGGAUCUGCUCACUGGACAAGGUUUGACUGAAGGCUGAAGGUUAUCCCCCAGGGAGGCGGGAUCAGAGGGGAGCAGGGCGAGGACAGAGCUUAGGGAGAGGGGACAACGCCCUCUGCAGCCCCUUCCCCUGCCACCUGCAACAUCCCGACAGGUGGGGGUUUGGUGGUGGUGGGGAGGGCAGCGUGGCCCUGAGUGGCCAACUGGGGAAGGCCUGGGCACAGGUGGUCACAACUGAAGGAGGGGGCCUCUGGGCCCUGCCCCUGCCGAGUCCCAUCCCCGUGGCUAUUGCCAGGAUCCCAGCUUCCCGCAGGCCGUGGACCACGUAUACGGGGAGCAGCCUGAGAUGUGGGCAUUCCAACGAGCCGUGGCCUCCCCUAUUCCUCGGGAAGCCAGCACCUACUUGAGGAGCCCCUAAGACUCUUGGGGUGGUCCCAGGUCCUUUUGUCCACCUGCGAGGUGCUAUGAGCAGCUUUUGGAUUUCUCAGACUGUCUGCAGGUUCCCUCAGUUCCUGGAUGCUGCGCAGCAAGUGAGGAUCAGGCAAAUCUGAGGGUGACCACCACACAGCGCCCCCAUACCCCCCGAGAGAGCACAAAAGAUAGGGCAACCCCGUAACUUGUCAUCCAACUGGGACACAGUUAAUAAGCUGAGACCAGAGGCACAAAGGGGACUUCUGGUGACCCUCCAGAUGGAGAAAACCGGACACUGAAGCCCAGAACAGCGGCUGUGUCAUUAACGUGAAGCCUGACUCUACACCCGGGUGGUGCCCGGGGGAGACGCCUCCUACACAAAUAUUCACCACAUUACGACGGGCAUCUAUGAUUUGGAGCAGUCACCCCUGGCAUGCGCCUGGUGAGUUUUCUCCUUGUCGUUCCCGGUGGCAGACACCUCCGCACCCACGGGGAUUUAUCAGGCACGCUCACACCUACGCUGCCUGCCCCACCCGCGGGGAGGGCGUCCCCGGGCUGGAGGCAAGAAGAUGCGAGACUGUCUGCAAGAGUGACUCCCCUCUCCUGUAAUUUAUUUUUCACAGCUUCAAGGUCCCAGGGCAAUCCUGGGUCACGCAGUAAUAAUCAAGAACAAACCGUCUCUGUUGGGGUUCUCCAGGCCUUUGCAAAACAUGUUUGUCUUAUAAAAGGUGCUACAACCAGAUAGGAGAAAUUUUUAAAAUUCACAAAAAGAGUGGAAUAAAGAGAGCGUGGUCUAAAACCCCGCCA
rnacentral:lncRNA from 1 species